GUCUACGUAGCUCAGUUGGUUAGAGCGUCGGUCUAAUAAGCCGAAUGUCAUAGGUUCGAUCCCUGUCGUGGGCA